rnacentral:rRNA from 1 species
GACGAACGCUGGCGGCGUGCUUAACACAUGCAAGUCGAGCGGUAAGGCCCUUUCGGGGGUACACGAGCGGCGAACGGGUGAGUAACACGUGGGUGACCUGCCCUCAGCUCUGGGAUAAGCCUGGGAAACCGGGUCUAAUACUGGAUAUGACUCCAUGACGCAUGUUGUGGGGUGGAAAGCCUUGUGCGGCUGAGGAUGGGCCCGCGGCCUAUCAGCUUGUUGGUGGGGUGANGGCCUACCAAGGCGACGACGGGUAGCCGGCCUGAGAGGGCGAUCAGCCACACUGGCACUGCGACACGGGCCAGACUCCUACGGGAGGCAGCAGUAAGGAAUAUUGCGCAAUGGGCGAAAGCCUGACGCAGCGACGCCGCGUGGGGAUGAAGGUCUUCGGAUGUAAACCCCGUUUCGGGAGGGAAGAUGGAACGAGCAAUCGUUCGGACGGUACCUCCAGAAGCAGCCACGGCUAACUUCGUGCCAGCAGCCGCGGU